AUGCACGCUGGCGGCGUGCCUAAUACAUGCCAGUCGCGCGAACAGACGAGGAGCUUGCUCCUCUGACGUUAGCGGCGGACGGGUGAGUAACACGUGGAUAACCUACCUAUAAGACUGGGAUAACUUCGGGAAACCGGAGCUAAUACCGGAUAAUAUAUUGAACCGCAUGGUUCAAUAGUGAAAGACGGUUUUGCUGUCACUUAUAGAUGGAUCCGCGCCGCAUUAGCUAGUUGGUAAGGUAACGGCUUACCAAGGCAACGAUGCGUAGCCGACCUGAGAGGGUGAUCGGCCACACUGGAACUGAGACACGGUCCAGACUCCUACGGGAGGCAGCAGUAGGGAAUCUUCCGCAAUGGGCGAAAGCCUGACGGAGCAACGCCGCGUGAGUGAUGAAGGUCUUCGGAUCGUAAAACUCUGUUAUUAGGGAAGAACAAAUGUGUAAGUAACUAUGCACGUCUUGACGGUACCUAAUCAGAAAGCCACGGCUAACUACGU
rnacentral:rRNA from 1 species